CCACAAAAGUUUAGCCGCUCAUCUUGGUCAUAAAAUCAGCAAAAACUUGAAAAGAUGCAGAAUUCAUGGUUGAUUCGAUGAUUGGAUGGAGAAUCUUGAUGAAUUAGAAGUGAAAAGCUUGAACUUCGAGUGCCCUUGAGUGUCUUUGAUCGAUCCUUCAAUGAUAGAUCCUGAUUCCCAACUUUAAAAACCCUAAUAUACAUGGUACGUGAGCGACUGUACAUAUUUUUACAAUGAAAUUACACACGAAUUGGUUUUAAAUUUAUAAAAGUGAUUAUUACUCUUACAUCAAAACACACACGAAAGGGUAAGUGUACCCCGUCAUAUAUGUAGUAAAGUAUCGGUAAGAACCAAGUAUCGAUCCACGGAAAUGGGCGGAGAAAUAAUACUAGACCUUUAUCACCAAAUUACCGCCUUGCUUAAUACACAACCAAAGCAUGUCAACUAAGUCAGUUUUGGCAUUAGAAGCAUUCGGUCAAUUUUCCAUUUUGAGACAAUUAGUAUCCCUUUCGGGAAUCCUAACAUGACAAUCAUUCGGAAAGUUAAAACGAUAAACACACUUUAACCACCUAAAAUUGUUCUUUAACGUGCAAUUGAUUAAUGUCUACAAAAAUCUCCUAAAAAUAAGUUAGUCAUCCGUUAGGAGUUUUCUAACCUCACUUAAUCAAGGAAAGCAACACCGAUAAACACAAUGCAACCACCGAGACAAGCAUAAACUAGAUUAAAUCACAACCGAGUUCAUUUUACAAAUCUUGCACAUGAAUUCACCAAGAUAGCAAUUUUGGCCGAAACUACUAACUAAGCUAACAAAUCAUGGCAAGAAUUUAUAACAACACCAUCUAACCCGUUAGAGUCCUUCCGUGAAGGCAAGCUUUCUUGAUUAACAAUAAUUACAUUUUAUUAAACCACUAACCCGUUAGAGUAUCAUGGUGCCC
rnacentral:lncRNA from 1 species